UCGAGGUUGGGGAGUGCCCAAAGCUCCCCAUAGAUGAUCUGCUUCCACCACAACUGAAGAUUCCUAUCGUUGAAGAUAAUGAACAUGGUAUGUAAUCUGCCCUUGUCAGCUUUGUCUACUUUCUUAAUGUAAUGGGCUUGCAUAGUCAUGGUAUGUAAUCUAUUAUGCUCGGUUAGUGUCUCACGCACGCCGGAGCUUAUGCAUGACAUGCAUGUUCUGUGCUUGACGCAUGACUGGUUUGUGCGAGAGCACAACCGCAGCAUGGUCUGGACUUUUUCGUGCCAUGGCACAAGAAGCAUGGAUCAUUGCAUGAGGUUCAGACCUGGUGGCCACAACUUUGUAAUCAAGUUUUUCUGUUUAUAAGAAAAUCAAUAGGGUCAACACAUGCUGCCACUCUGCUGUUAUCAUUUCGUCUCCAGACCCAGCAGCUCGCCAGAGUUCAUGUACUCCGGCUGUUUUCUGGCAUGAACCACAUGUACACAGAUAUUUUUAAACGGAGUCAGACAGUAAUAUUUUCUGAUUGUAGCAGACCAAUAAAAAGGAGAAUCGUUGUAUGGUUGUUGUUUUGUACAGCUUUACUUCUGUUUUCUCCCCCUGCUCCCAAAAAAAUAGUGCUUCUAUUCUAGUGACAGCACUCAUUUCAGGUUGCCUUAAAUGAUUUUUUUUUCUGCUUUUGAAUGGAACCAGAUAGUACUACAGUGUGAACCAGAUAGGUGCUUGAACUCUAUAUGUGCAAUCAAGGUGGGAAUCCCUAUUGUGAAAGCGCUAGUGAUGAUGGGUUGCUCAUCUGAACAAUCAGUGAAAGGGAAGCUCGUCAGAAUUGAAUUUCUAAUGGUAUGUAACUAAAGCUUAUCAUAAUUAAAAUUUUGAGAAAUCUUAUCACAAUUAAUUUGCUCCCUAUGAAAUACAGGUUUGCGGCUAUACCUUCUUACUGAAUUCUGAAAAGUUCUAUUUCAGUGAUAUUUUCUCGUUCUCAAUCUUCCACACUAUAGUCUGAACGUUGUGUCCCGAUGAUGCAGGGCCUGCAAUCACAGACUACAUACUGUCCAAAACCCUAUAUGACUAUAUGUACCCACUUUGUCAGCUGCAAAUUCUUAUUGUAUUAGCGAUACAGGUUAUAGCUAAUUGAAUCAUGACUGCACUAACUGUGUAUAUAAUAUUUCAUUGCCAGGUCCACCUAAUUACUUGUGGUUAUUCUUGCUGAUCAAUUUACCUUCCAUUUUUGAACAGGCACAAUUUCUACUUUCCCAAUUGGAAACUACAAAAUUAUUUCAUCACAUUUGUUAGCAGAUCCUUUUAACUCAAACUUUGUCGCAAGCAAGUAAUUCCUGGCGAUACAUUAUGGGUGUGUUUGGUUUGAGGAAUGAGGUGAUCCAUCUUCUUCUCACUCCUCAUUUUUGUAUUUGGUUUGUGGAAUGGAAUGAGUUGAUCUAUCACCACCUCAUUCCUCACAAGCUAAUAAUUAGUAUAUGCAUGAGGAAUGAGUUGAUUUUAUCAAAAUUGAUGGAAUGAUCUUAUGAUGCAUCACCUCAUGAAGCAUGGGAUGACUCCACAAACCAAACACAUCAUAUGUAACCAUAUUGAUACAUGCUUAGCUCACUUCAUGAACUUGUGCUUUUUUAGAUUCAAGGUGAACUUGUAUAGUUCCAGACAGGACCUUAACACUUUAACGAAGUAGUUGCUCUGUGCCUUUCCCUGCCAAAUGACCCGCAGCAAAACCCUGCCUCAUGAUCCGCAGCCCAAAAAAAAACUUUGUACUCAAUUUAGUUUUAAAAUCUCAAGAUUCUCUAUCGCAUCGAAUUUUUAGACGCAUGUAUGGAGCAUUAAAUAAAGAUGAAAAAAUAACUAAUUGCACAGUUUGUCUAUUAUUUACAAGGUGAAUCUUUUGAGCUUAGUUAGUCUAUGAUUGGACAAUAAUUGCUAAAUACAAACAAAAAAUUCACGAACUAAACAAGGCCAAAGAUACUAUUUUUCUUUGUCUAACAAAACAUGGUGUUACAAAUAUUCUUGAGGACAACGCUAGGAAAGAACAUGCCCAAAACGCCGGCGAUGACUUUGUGUUGUGAAUAAAUAAUAAUCAAGAAAACACAAACGCAGCAAAGGCUGCAGUCAUCGCAAUGACCCACACGGCGACAAUCCCCGCCGGCGCUUCGCCGGAGAGCGGCUCGUAGUAUGACGGCGGCACUGACGGGAGACCGCGGCCACGCGCCACGCUGACCUGAAACCGCAUCCCCUUGUGGCAGUGCUCCCCGUUCUAGGCGUUCGAGAAGAAGUAGUUGGCGCCCUCCGCCGUGAGCAUCACAGCGAGGAGCGCCCCCUCCGGCUUCCACCCGCUGGCGCCGCUCGCCGCGACGCCGGCGCUUGUAGACCGUGGCGUUCGUCGUGUGCACCACCGUGUUGCCGGUGUCCGUCUUGAAGCCUUGCGACAUAUUGAGCACGUCACACACAUCACACAUGUCUGUAACUAAUCACUAGUGUCGAUGGAUCGAGCUCAAAAAUCAUUCUAGACAAUAUUUGAGUCAAACAUUAAAAAUAUAAAUCAUAAAUAAUUUAAGUUGUUGAGUUUGAAAAUAUGAAAACCAUAUGAAUAAACUUAUCUUAAAAAAAUGUUUUUAUAAAAAUAUACAUAUAAUAUUUUUUGAUAAAUAUUUUUAUAAAAAUUAAAGUUAGAGAAUAUGUUAAACAACUUUUUUACACCUAUGGAGGGAGUUGGACUUGGACGGGGGAAGGAGAGAGUGAAAACUCACUGAGGUAGUCGCCGAGGUAGAAGGUGCGGUUCACAGCGCAGGCGGAGUAGUUGGCGACAGAGGCGUUCGCCUUCCAGUCAAAGAACCACCCGGUGCCGUCGCCCACGGCGUGGUUCGUGCCAAACAGCGGCAAUGGCGCCGUCGUGUUCUUGGUCGGGCUCGCCGUUGAAUUGGCCGCGGAGCUUGGGCUCGCUGUCGUGUUGCCUGCGGCUGCAGUGGUCGUUACGGCAAAAACGGCGACUGCUACUCGGAAAAUCACUGUAGGAAUGCCCAUGGUCACAAGCUGGUGAAUUGGUGAUGUUGUGCUGCUAAUGCUAGAUUUCUGUCAGAAAGCUUCUGAUGCUAAAUAGGCGACUAUUCUUGAGUGAGGGUGAGGACUAAAUUAAUGGCGAUGUCAACGGUUUAUGCGGCAUCCAGGUGGGGGCGGCGCCGGCCUGGAAACCCGCAGCCACCUGGCUAGGCACCAUGCUUUGGCCGGUGACAGAUCUAUGGACUGGGAAAAAUAGUUACAGUAACUGACAAUGGUAACCUUGUGACCAAAUUGCCUAAGGAAAUGGUGCUCACUUCAUCAGACCUUUAUAUAUGAUAAUAAGUUUAAAAAAUAAUUACUGUUCAGCGGACCUUGAUAGUUGAAUAGUUGAUAAUAAGUAUUACUAUUGUUGUCUCGAGUGAAGCUAACAAUCUUCAGUGCAGAAAUUUUCUUACAUGAUGCUGAUUUGGAGCAACGGCAAGCAUUUUGUUUUGAUAGUUGUUACUGUAUAUUUACCUCACAAAUGUCAUAUUCACAUACAACAAUGGGGGCAUUGUUCUCGUACAAUCAUCAUGUUUUCCGAGCUCGUUUCUGGAGCUGGAGGUACUGGUGUAGUCAUGUUCCUGUAGUCUGUAGAUCAUCUUAACAUUUGAGUGUCUGAUUUCUGAGUACUACAACUCAAGUUUCUGACUUCUAAGUACCACAACACUAGAACCCUUGCUGUGAAUUGAACCCUUGCAAAGAUACCAUGCCUGCGACCUGCUGCGGUGAUUGAAGUUUGGACUCAGUUACCAUCAUGAUCUAGCGACGUGGUUCAGUUUUCUGGUUCAGAGACUAGGAUUUGCCCUCUGCACAUCAGCUAAUUGCUUUCAAAUCUUGAAUAUAGAGCUUCUAUAUGAGACUACCUUCACAUCUUGAAUAUAGAGCUUCUAUAUGAAACUAGUACGAACCUAUUUUUAAAGUCCAGUUAAUUGAUGUCCCCAGAUCCAUCUUCACUCUUCGAGUCACUUAGCAUAGGCAUGAAUGCUGCAAGAAGAACAGCAACCUUGUUUGCUAGGAACCCUGCGGUGCCAACAAAGAGCUCCGUCGGUGUGAGUUCAAAGCUAUCACCUCCAGCACCAUACUUCAGUGCAACUGCGCCUGCAACCAGUACUAGUGAUAGUAUCAACCAUGGCCUCCUUACACCACUGAAACCUGUUACCGAGGGCUGUGCACUGCCAGCUUCUGAAGGUGAAGUGAUCACAGGCAAACCAUCAACUGAUCUUUGGAGCAGCAACAGAUAGAGGAACCCACCAAUGCCACCUAUCAGGAACGAAUAGGCGGCGCUAUCAUUGGAAGCCAAGGUGAAGGCGGAGAAGCCAGUGAUCACUAUAGAUGCAUCAUAGAGCAGCAGAGAUUGUUUGAGGUCAGCAUACUCUCUCAACCCAUCCUCUCUUAGUUCCUUAACGCUUGAAGCUUUGCUUUCUGAGGAUAACAACCCUUCUUGAAGAUCGGAAAGGCCGACUCCUGAGAGGUCAGUGACAGCCACAG
rnacentral:lncRNA from 1 species